AGGGUCCAAACCAUGCGGGGGGGGGGGGGGGGGGGGGGGCUGUGAGGACGAAAAUCGGGAGCUGGUACUAAGACCUGAAGGCUCUGGCUGGGGAGAGGGAGGGGAGAAGAAAGGAGACCCACUUGAGCCGGAUUCCCAGAAAGUGUUAGCGCCUGGGGCGGAAGCGACAGGUGUGAUGGCACCCGGCAGAGACCCUCCGUUUCAUUUGGGGAAAGGGGGGGUCUGGGGGAGGGGGGGAGGGGUCACAGAUCCCUCUGAGAUCCUACGGCCCCAGCUCUCCAAAGAGCAAAUGCCGGGCGAUGCUUGUUCCGUUUCAGCAGCUCCGCAGCGAUGGGUUAAAAAGCGCGGCCUGGCCUCGGACAUCAGUCUGUCUGUCUGUCUGUCCGGGGACUGUCCGCCGAAUAUUCCCACGCACUCGCUCCCAUUCAUUCAACCAACCCUCCCGGGAGGCUACACUUCCGGGCGAGGACCCCCUGGGCCAACGCUACCCGUCCUCCCCUCAGCACCCAGCCCCUAAGAGGAGUUCACCGGGUAUUUGUGGGAGGGAUGCCUGAGCGGACAGGUGCCUCCCCCGGAAACAGGAGCAGGCGUGAUGCUGUGACACUGCAGCUAACGGUCUACUGGCUGCACGCUGCGUGCUGGGAGCUGCGUGUGGCUUCUCACAUGGAGUGUGCACUUGCACGCUGCAGGCUUGGGGACGACCCCUGUGCAUACACCACACACACACACAUACACACGCACACACACACCCCUUACAGAGGAAGCACGACCAGCCCCUGAGAUUAAUGGGCCCCUGAGGCGAAUGGUUUGGCCCGAAGGAGGAGUGACGCCUGGGCUGCGCGCUGUGGUUGCCAUGGAAGCCAGGCGGAGGGGCGGAGCCUGUCUCCGGGCGCCCGGGACGCGGGUUGUCCAGCGGAGCGCGCAGGAGCGAGGCACUGGAGCUGGAACAACAGAAUCGGAUGGUUCAUUGAUCAGUCCCAAAACUUAAAG